rnacentral:rRNA from 1 species
UGGGUUAGUGGCGGACGGGUGAGUAACGCGUGGGCAACCUGCCUUACACAGGGGGAUAACACUUAGAAAUAGGUGCUAAAACCGCAUAAGCGCACAGCUUCGCAUGAAGCGGUGUGAAAAACUCCGGUGGUGUAAGAUGGACCCGCGUCUGAUUAGCUUGUUGGCGGGGUAACGGCCCACCAAGGCGACGAUCAGUAGCCGGCCUGAGGGGGCGGACGGCCACAUUGGGACUGAGACACGGCCCAGACUCCUACGGGAGGCAGCAG